UGUCGCUGGCCUUCAACCGAGGCAUGUGCACNGCNNNCUUCUGGACUUUCGCCGUAUGGGCGCGGGGCGACCCNCNUCUUCAUAUACCUCUUCGUGUAGAAAGUCUUCGAAUGUUUUUACCAUCAUCGAGUCGCGACUUCUAGGAGACGCGAUUCUUUGAGACAAAAGUUAUCACAACUUUCAGCAAUGGAUCUCUUGGCUCUCGCAUCGAUGAAGAACGCAGCGAAUCGCGAUAUGUAAUGUGAAUUGCAGAUCUACAGUGAAUCAUCGAAUCUUUGAACGCACCUUGCGCUCCUCGGUGUUCCGAGGAGCAUGCCUGUUUGAGCGUCAGUAAAUUCUCAACCCCUCUCGAUUUGCUUCGAGUGGGGCUUGGAUAGUGGGGGCUGCCGGAGACCUGAAAUUCAUUUCGGGACUCGGGCUCCUCUGAAAUGCAUCGGCUUGCGGUCGACUUUCGACUUUGCGCGACAAAGCNUUCGGCGUGAUAAUGAUCGCCGUUCGCUGAAGCGCAUCAAUGAACGGUCCCGUGCCUCUAAUCAGUCGACGCCUUCCGGGCGUCUUCCUUAUAGACGUUUGACCUCAAAUCAGGUAGGACUACCCGCUGAACUUAAGCAUAUCAAUAAGCGGAGGAAAAGAAACUAACAAGGAUUCCCCUAGUAACUGCGAGUGAACCGGGAAAAGCUCAAAUUUUGAAUCUGGCGGUCUUUACGGUCGUCCGAGUUGUAAUCUAGAGAAGCGUCUUCCGCGCUGGACCGUGUAUAAGUUUCCUGGAAUGG
rnacentral:rRNA from 1 species